GGGGACUCGCCUUUCCCACCAGAGCACCGCCAGGUGUGAAGGAUGGUUUAGCGUUUCUCUGGCUGUAUUUCACGGAUGCAAGACA